rnacentral:misc_RNA from 1 species
AAGUCGUAACAAGGUUUCCGUAGGUGAACCUGCGGAAGGAUCAUUAACACUUUUUCCAAAACUCCUUUUUUCUAUUGGCUCACACCAAAAGAAAAAGGUUUUAACCCCAAUUUAUUGCGAACGAUGAUUUUCCAAAAUCAUUUUUCUCUUCUUUAUCCUCUUUUUUAUUUUUACCCCAAAUUUUAAAAUCAAAAGCCUGAUAUAAAAUCGUUUCUCUAUGAAACGACCGAAACCUAAUGGUUAAAACAACUCUUAGCAACGGAUAUCUUGGCUCUC